AACAAGGUCUCCGUUGGUGAACCAGCGGAGGGAUCAUUACCGAGUUUACAACUCCCAAACCCCUGUGAACAUACCAUUUGUUGCCUCGGCGGUGCCUGCUUCGGCAGCCCGCCAGAGGACCCAAACCCUUGAUUUUAUACAGUAUCUUCUGAGUAAAUGAUUAAAUAAAUCAAAACUUUCAACAACGGAUCUCUUGGUUCUGGCAUCGAUGAAGAACGCAGCGAAAUGCGAUAAGUAAUGUGAAUUGCAGAAUUCAGUGAAUCAUCGAAUCUUUGAACGCACAUUGCGCCCGCCAGUAUUCUGGCGGGCAUGCCUGUUCGAGCGUCAUUUCAACCCUCAAGCCCCCGGGCUUGGUGUUGGAGAUCGGCGUGCCCCCCGGGGCGCGCCGCCUCCCAAAUAUAGUGGCGGUCUCGCUGUAGCUUCCUCUGCGUAGUAGCACACCUCGCACUGGAAAACAGCGUGGCCACGCCGUUAAACCCCCCACUUCUGAAAGGUUGACCUCGGAUCAGGUAGGAAUACCCGCUGAACUUAAGCAUAUCAAUAAGCGGAGGAA
rnacentral:rRNA from 1 species